UAGAGUAAUGCGUGACCAACCUGCCCCAUGCUCCAGAAUAGCUCUUGGAAACGGGUGGUAAUGCUGGAUGCUCCAACUUGACGCAUGUCUUGUUGGGAAAGUGUUUAGUGGCAUGGGAUGGGGUCGCGUCCUAUCAGCUUGUAGGCGGGGUAAUGGCCCACCUAGGCUUCGACGGGUAGCCGGCCUGAGAGGGCGGACGGCCACAUUGGGACUGAGAUACGGCCAGACUCCUACGGGAGGCAGCAGC
rnacentral:rRNA from 1 species